rnacentral:rRNA from 1 species
GACGAACGCUGGCGGCGUGCUUAACACAUGCAAGUCGAACGGAAAGGCCCUGCUUGGGGGGCUCGCGUGGGGAACGGGGGAGUGACACGCGAGUAAGCUGCCCUUGACUUCGGGAGAAAUGCAUGAAACAGGGGGUAAUACAGGGGAGGAAUGCUUUCUUCAUGGUGGGGGUUGGAAAGCUUCUUCGGGUUGGGAUGGACUCGCGGCCUAUCAGCUUGUUGGUGGGGUAGUGGCUUACCAAGGCGGGGACGGGUAGCCGGCCUGGGGGGGGGACCGGCCAAAUUGGGCCUGGGAAACGGCCCAGCCCCCUACGGGGGGGAGCAGGGGGGAAAUUUGCCAAAGGGGGCGAAGCCUGAUGCAGGAAGGCCGCGGGCGGGAUGACGGCCUUCGGGUUGUAAACCCCUUUCCGCAGGGGCGAAGCUUGUGGUGACGGUACCUGGAGAAGAAGCACCGGCUAACUACGUG